AGCUCAUCUCAAAUCUCCUCUUUCUCAUCUCCCAAUUCAAAUCAAGGGCGUGAUGCUUUUUUGUGGCUAAUCAUGCAUGCACCACUUGCGGUUGAAGCUGCCAGCAUGAUCUAAACUUGCCUUCGGAUAUUAUAAGGGAAGAUUGGAUCAUCUGACAGCUUCAACUGUUGUUGGAUGCAUGGAUUCCAAGAGUUUUAAGGAUGUCCAUUGCAGUUAAUCUAAUCAUAAUGGGAGGGGGAACCCAACCCCUAUCCCUAACACUUCUGGCCAUAUUAGCCCGAACACUCUCAGCAAGGACCGGAAAGCUGUUUGGACAACAUGGAAGUGCGGAGAUGGAUUCUUUGUACUUAAAAUCAACAAGAAGAAUUGAUAGGAAAGCUGUUUGGGCAACAAGGACGGACUGGGAGAACAAAUGGGGCUUAGAAUUAAUCUGAAAUCUGACAUAAAUUGAUACAAACUGAGCAGUUUCUAGUGAAUGUAUACUCAGAUAGAGCAAGAAAAAUUGAAUUUGAUUUGGUCAACUUAUAAAACUUUAGAAGCAGAGUGUAUUUAACCAAAAAUAGGAGUAAUGUUUGACUAUUAUAUCUUCACUUAUUUAUGAGUUAUAAGCAGUGUGUUGAGAUAAGGAUUGAAGACAGGCAAACUCAGAUCCUAAUGUACUGUUGAACAGGGCUUCCGUUACAAUUGUUAAUACAUCCAAGACUACACAAAUUACAGAUAAAUUGAACUUAUCCAGCCAAAAGUAUUUUAACAGCACAAGUACCAUUCCAACGAAACAACAUCC